GGACACGUGAAACCCUGUGGGAAGCAGGAGGGACCACCCUCCAAGGCUAAAUACUACCUAGUGACCGAUAGCGUAUAGUACCGUGAGGGAAAGGUGAAAAGAACCCCGGGAGGGGAGUGAAAUAGAACCUGAAACCCUGCACUUACAAGCUGUGGAAGCACAUUUCUUGUGUGACCGCGUACUUUUUGUAGAACGGGCCAACGAGUUACGUUAAGUAGCAAGGUUAAGCACUUAAG
rnacentral:rRNA from 1 species